UAAUACAUGCAAGUCGAGCGAACGGACGAGAAGCUUGCUUCUCUGAUGUUAGCGGCGGACGGGUGAGUAACACGUGGAUAACCUACCUAUAAGACUGGGAUAACUUCGGGAAACCGGAGCUAAUACCGGAUAAUAUUUUGAACCGCAUGGUUCAAAAGUGAAAGACGGUCUUGCUGUCACUUAUAGAUGGAUCCGCGCUGCAUUAGCUAGUUGGUAAGGUAACGGCUUACCAAGGCAACGAUGCAUAGCCGACCUGAGAGGGUGAUCGGCCACACUGGAACUGAGACACGGUCCAGACUCCUACGGGAGGCAGCAGUAGGGAAUCUUCCGCAAUGGGCGAAAGCCUGACGGAGCAACGCCGCGUGAGUGAUGAAGGUCUUCGGAUCGUAAAACUCUGUUAUUAGGGAAGAACAUAUGUGUAAGUAACUGUGCACAUCUUGACGGUACCUAAUCAGAAAGCCACGGCUAACUACGUGCCAGCAGCCGCGGUAAUACGUAGGUGGCAAGCGUUAUCCGGAAUUAUUGGGCGUAAAGCGCGCGUAGGCGGUUUUUUAAGUCUGAUGUGAAAGCCCACGGCUCAACCGUGGAGGGUCAUUGGAAACUGGAAAACUUGAGUGCAGAAGAGGAAAGUGGAAUUCCAUGUGUAGCGGUGAAAUGCGCAGAGAUAUGGAGGAACACCAGUGGCGAAGGCGACUUUCUGGUCUGUAACUGACGCUGAUGUGCGAAAGCGUGGGGAUCAAACAGGAUUAGAUACCCUGGUAGUCCACGCCGUAAACGAUGAGUGCUAAGUGUUAGGGGGUUUCCGCCCCUUAGUGCUGCAGCUAACGCAUUAAGCACUCCGCCUGGGGAGUACGACCGCAAGGUUGAAACUCAAAGGAAUUGACGGGGACCCGCACAAGCGGUGGAGCAUGUGGUUUAAUUCGAAGCAACGCGAAGAACCUUACCAAAUCUUGACAUCCUUUGACAACUCUAGAGAUAGAGCUUUCCCCUUCGGGGGACAAAGUGACAGGUGGUGCAUGGUUGUCGUCAGCUCGUGUCGUGAGAUGUUGGGUUAAGUCCCGCAACGAGCGCAACCCUUAAGCUUAGUUGCCAUCAUUAAGUUGGGCACUCUAAGUUGACUGCCGGUGACAAACCGGAGGAAGGUGGGGAUGACGUCAAAUCAUCAUGCCCCUUAUGAUUUGGGCUACACACGUGCUACAAUGGACAAUACAAAGGGCAGCGAAACCGCGAGGUCAAGCAAAUCCCAUAAAGUUGUUCUCAGUUCGGAUUGUAGUCUGCAACUCGACUACAUGAAGCUGGAAUCGCUAGUAAUCGUAGAUCAGCAUGCUACGGUGAAUACGUUCCCGGGUCUUGUACACACCGCCCGUCACACCACGAGAGUUUGUAACACCCGAAGCCGGUGGAGUAACCUUUUAGGAG
rnacentral:rRNA from 1 species